rnacentral:rRNA from 1 species
UACGAAGGGAGCUAGCGUUGCUCGGAUUUACUGGGCGUAAAGGGCGCGUAGGCGGAUGUUUAAGUCGGGGGUGAAAGCCCGGGGCUCAACCUCGGAAUUGCCUUCGAUACUGGACAUCUUGAGUACGGGAGAGGUGAGUGGAACUCCGAGUGUAGAGGUGAAAUUCGUAGAUAUUCGGAAGAACACCAGUGGCGAAGGCGACUCACUGGCCCGUUACUGACGCUGAGGCGCGAAAGCGUGGGGAGCAAACAGG